CCCACCUUCUCCCCACCCUAUCUCCCCCAUUUCUCAACCAUUUGAGCCCAUUUUUUUUUUGAAAUCCUCCAUUUUCGAUACUUAAUAACAUACACCUAAAAAGUUUUAAUUUUUUACCCUCUUUAAGUGUCAUCCGAACCCAAAUAGUAAAGUUUGGGUUUGAAAUCCGGCCACCCAUUUUUCUUGAGAAAUCCUUGAAUCUCAACCUCGUUUAAGUGCCGGGAUUUUUUACGGUGGUCGUCGGAUUGCGGUUAUUAGGGGUUCGACAUAAUUUUGUGUGUAGCGUAUUUGGGCUUGCAAUUAUAGACAUGGCGAACUCGGAAUCAGGAUCUGAUUCGGGCGCAGAAAAUGAGUGUCCAACCACAAUACCUACACGAGGGCCGACGCAAAUGAAUGAAAUAUCCAAACUAAUGGAUCAGGGCAAAAGAGUGGCCCUCGAGGUUAAUGACAAAGGACAAUACUGUGGAAAAAGCUAUGCGAAGCUCGUAUCCACUCUAGGAGUCAGAUGUCGGCAGACGAUAGGGUUGGCCUAUAAAAACUGGAAAGACGUCAACCCGACUCUGAAAAAUAAAGUUUGGAAAGACAUACAGGUAAGCUGUUAUUUGUUAGAAUUAUGAUUUGUUUUUCUAUUACUUCAAAUGUUGACUCUAACCGUGUUUGUUUUCCUUCAAAAUAGACGGGGUUCAUUGUGCCGGACUCCUUCAAACAUUAUUGUCUCAUCCUAGCUGGGAAGUUAAUGAAAGAC